rnacentral:lncRNA from 1 species
GUGAUCUAAUAUGAACCAGGGGGUACAGUGGCUAGAAAAUAUAGUGUCGAAAUCGAGCUUAUUUUCUGCCCCUAUAUUGGAGGUUGCCGCAAGAGGCGCUGCUGUCAAUCGUUGUGCUACACUGGCUGUAUCAUCCUAUGUUUAUAUUGGUUUUAAGUGGGAUUUUUAAGCAUAGUAAAUGUGCUGUAGCCAAGUAAAAGAAUUUAGAUCGAUAAUAAAUCAUAUCACUAGCAAUCAAUUAUUAUAUAGUAUUACUUUAUUAACAUUUAUGAAGGAAUUCAUUUUAUUAAAGCUAAUUAAGAUUCUUAUUAAAUCAAAUAGCCUACACUGUAUUGUCUAUUUUUACAUUACAGCUGUUGAGUGCUGUACAAACAAGUAUUAUUUAGAGUACAAGAGUAAUCUACUCUUGUUAUUACCUUAUUAACAACAAGGUUUAUUCAUAUUUACUAAAAAAAUACAGAAUUUAUCAUAUUUUUAAUAAUAAAAUGUAAGUUUUAUAUGGCUUUGUGAACCUCUUCCACUGUGAGGGCCUAAAAUAGAAUUUAUUAAGCAAAUGCCAUCAGUUACAUAAUACUGUAUACUGUUCACAGUAUUAUGUGACAUAGUAUAAAGCAAUAUUAAAAUUACAAUUAAAUUCUACACAGUAUAUAAAAUAUAAAGGCAGAAUGUUACUUUAUUGUCCCAAUAUAAAAUUACAAAAUUAAGUAUGUACAAAUAAACGAUUAUUAGUCUACUGCCAAGUACCAUGCAUAUACACUUUAUAUUUGAAAAAUCUCUCUUAAAAAAUUACAGAUUAAUAUGCAUGUAGAUUUCUCACCCUUUUCGACAAAAAUAAAAGAAUUAAAAAUUACAGUAGAGUAAUAUGUAUAAAUUAGAAAUACACGAGUCAGUAAAGUUUCUGUUCAGCUAUUUCCUAAGGAUUUAUUCACUUUACAAGCACAAAUUUAAUCGCUUUCGAUGUUCUUGUAAGAAAGGAUAUCACGUAGCCAAAGCGAAAGUAGCACUACGAUUGACAUCAGCGCCACCUUGUCUGUGACGUCACUAACCUCGCUGUAUGGACCGAACGGUUAUAAUGGAGGAAUAUAAGCGCUUUCGACACUAUAUUUUCUAGCCACUGUACAGGGGGAGAAGAAGGAUAGAAUAGAACACGUGAUUUAAGAAUUUGAAGUAAUUCAUGUGCUUAAGAAGAAAUGUUAUUUAGAUUCAAUUCUUAUUGCAAAAAAUUACUUAAUGUAAGCAAUAAAGUGGUUAAAGAUAGGGUAAAAUGCUGGCGAAAUUGUUGCAGUUCCACUUCCUUACCAGAAAUUAUGAAAGAAUUUUCGAAGUAUUCUGGAGGACAGAUAAAACUAUUACAAGAUGAUGAUUAUGGUAUUGCUUACUUAUGCUUAGAUAAUCCUGACAAAAGAAAUGCUCUUACAGGAAUUUGAAGUAAUUCAUGUGCUUAAGAAGAAAUGUUAUUUAGAUUCAAUUCUUAUUGCAAAAAAUUACUUAAUGUAAGCAAUAAAGUGGUUAAAGAUAGGGUAAAAUGCUGGCGAAAUUGUUGCAGUUCCACUUCCUUACCAGAAAUUAUGAAAGAAUUUUCGAAGUAUUCUGGAGGACAGAUAAAACUAUUACAAGAUGAUGAUUAUGGUAUUGCUUACUUAUGCUUAGAUAAUCCUGACAAAAGAAAUGCUCUUACAGACUAGGCCAGGAAUGGCCAACAGUUUUUGCCCCCGGGCCGAAUUGGAAAGAGAACUUUUUUCAUGGGCCGAACCAGAGGCUGCGCGAGCAAGAUUUUGAGG